UGGAGGUGUUGGACGGGGCUUCCAGGAAAGCUGCUUAAAGCAGAGAGGUGCGGUCCUGUGGCUCUGCCCUCUUAUAUUCUCUUCCUACCUGGACAACAGACACUUGAGCAACCAGUUUGUGAGCCUGAGGCAACGUCAAGGACAGAAUCACACAGUAAGGAUGGUGGAGCAAAAAGAAGCCUGAGGCCUUGAUGACCACGUGGAAGUGUCACACUGGCCCAGCAUGUAUACCCCGGAAUUUCUUCAUUGUGACAGAAAAUAAAGCACCAUCUGGUUUAGGUUGCUGUCAUGUUGGGGGUGUGCUGUGAGCAGCCCAACACGGCAAGUCCUGUCCACGAGAGUGAAGUUCCUAGGGUGUCGUCGUCGACAGUGGGGCCACGUGAGCUGGAUGGCAGAUCGCUUAAAUGAAUUCACGUCAGACUCAAUAUUCCCGCAGAUGGAUGGACGGACGUUCACCUGGAAGAAGGUUCUAGUCAUGUGCCACUAGCUCUCUUCCGAGCCUCGUGAUGAGCAACAUUAUGAUCUUGAGUGAAGACGUGAACCGAUCUAAUUUGAGGCUCCAUCUGCAAAUACAUGCACAUGCUGAGGUCCUGGGGGUUAGCACUUCACCCUGAGUCUGAGGGGAACACAGUUCAGCCCACAACACCCAGGAUUAGAUGCCAGAGAGCAGCAUUGCCCAACUAACAGAGCCAAAGAGAGUCACACGAGCUGAGAGGGGACAGGGGCCCACGCUUCCCUGGCCUGGCUGCAGGUUGAGCCAUCUGGCUCCAGGGUGCCC
rnacentral:lncRNA from 1 species